ensembl:lncRNA
GCUGUUGGAAAGAGGUCAAAUAUGCAGAAGAUGCUGGAAAAGCAAAGAAUGUGCAGGACCUGGAGGAUUUUUCUGAAGAACAGUGAGCAGUUUAACUGCUCAGGACAAACAAGGGACUCAUGAACAACUAUCACAAAACAUAAACACAGUCGUGGAUCAUCCAGAGCAAUAGAAAUCCAAUGAAACUCCAGCAUAGCUGAAAUAAAGCCAUACAUCCCACUCCAACCAGGGGAUUGGGAGACAGAGGAAAAAUGACUGCCGCAUGGGAAAGCAGCAGCCGAGUGAAAGGAACCCCAAGAUGAAGGAGAAAUCAGAUCGGACGUUUUGCCUCGAACAAAGGAAAUCUAAUUCCGGCAUGGCUGGCGAGUAAGAACAGGUACACCAGACUUCAUGCUUCAUAUACAAAUACAAAUAAGAACUAUCCAUGCACUAAUACUCAC